rnacentral:sRNA from 1 species
AUUACGAGAAAUUAAA